UACGUAGGGUGCGAGCGUUGUCCGGAAUUAUUGGGCGUAAAGGGCUCGUAGGCGGUUUGUCGCGUCGGGAGUGAAAACUCAGGGCUUAACCCUGAGCCUGCUUCCGAUACGGGCAGACUAGAGGUAUGCAGGGGAGAACGGAAUUCCUGGUGUAGCGGUGAAAUGCGCAGAUAUCAGGAGGAACACCGGUGGCGAAGGCGGUUCUCUGGGCAUUACCUGACGCUGAGGAGCGAAAGCGUGGGAAGCGAACAGG
rnacentral:rRNA from 1 species